UCCAGAGCCAACCCCCAGUUUAAACGUAAGAUGCUAGCCGCUAACGUUGGUCGUAACGACGGUUAUACUUGCGGUAUGGCAUAAUAAAUUUCUACACGUCACUUUUUCUUAGCGAUCCCUUAUAGCAAAAGACCCUACUAAUGAUGUUAAGUAAGGCCUUCUAUUGAACGAGUCAGUAUUACUGACUAUUCUGAAUCUUGUUCUGUUUCUUCAACUUUCUUCGUUUCUUCUAAAUCUUGUCCGCCGCAGCCACCACAACAACUCAUAAUAAUAUCCUCUUUAGUCGAUUAACUUAGUGUUAAGUAAAAUUACCUAGUCACUAUAACCAAGUGUU
rnacentral:misc_RNA from 1 species